GCCUGAUCUCGUCCGAUCUCGGAAGCUAAGCAGGGUCAGGCCUGGUUAGUACUUGGAUGGGAGACCGCCUGGGAAUACCAGGUGCUGUAAGCU
rnacentral:rRNA from 13 species